CGCGGCCUAUCAGCUUGUUGGUGAGGUAACGGCUCACCAAGGCAACGACGGGUAGCUGGUCUGAGAGGACGAUCAGCCACACUGGGACUGAGACACGGCCCAGACUCCUACGGGAGGCAGCAGCAGGGAAUAUUGCACAAUGGGCGCAAGCCUGAUGCAGCGACGCCGCGUGAGGGAUGAAGGCCCUCGGGUUGUAAACCUCUUUCAGGAGGGACGAAGCGAAAGUGACGGUACCUCCAGAAGAAGCCCCGGCCAACCACGUGCCAGCAGCCGCGGUAAUACGUAGGGGGCGAGCGUUGUCCGGAUUCAUUGGGCGUAAAGAGCUCGUAGGCGGCUCAGUAAGUCGGCCGUGAAAGCCCGGAGCUCAACUCCGGGACGCCGGUCGAUACUGCUGUGGCUAGGGUCCGGUAGAGGAGAGUGGAAUUCCCGGUGUAGCGGUGAAAUGCGCAGAUAUCGGGAGGAACACCAGUAGCGAAGGCGGCUCUCUGGGCCGGUACCGACGCUGAGGAGCGAAAGCUAGGGGAGCAAACAGGAUUAGAUACCCUGGUAGUCCUAGCCGUAAACGUUGGGCACUAGGUGUGGCGGAUUCAUUGACAUCUGCCGUGCCGGCGCUAACGCAUUAAGUGCCCCGCCUGGGGAGUACGG
rnacentral:rRNA from 1 species